GAAAGCCUUGCAAGUGAAUUCUAGCUCAAGUCUUGCCUUAACACAAAGCAGGUGGCUCCCACUGAACUGCUAAAUGAGGCAUGAACUAAAUCUUACUUGGGUCCAUUGUUUUAUAUUGAUUAAUUAUGGAGAAAUGUCUUAGAGUAGUGUGAAUCUUUGGAAACCAGGGGUUUACAUAAUGUAUGUAAAGCCAGUGUGCCUUUUAUUUCCACCAAAGGGAAAGAAGAUAAAUUGAGAAUCAGGAAGGAUUUGGGGUUUUUCAUGGUCAACAGUCAGCAAGCCAGCUUAACUGACAAGAGGAUGGUUGUGCUUUGCAGUUGACAUCAGACCAAGGACACAAGAAGUCUGUUCAUGCAGAGGUUCCCGUUUACAGAUGCCUGCUGUGGGACUGAGACAUAUCAGGGGAAGAUUCCCCUCCUCCUUCCCACAGCCAUACUUGAGAGAGAGAACACAAUUCCUUUUCUUUUCCCUUUGUAUCCAUAUAGCUGGUUGUAUGUGAACUAUUUGUCUCAUCUGUCUUGAUGGCACUUUAAUUAAAGUUUUGAAUACUGAAGGAUUAGAUAAUGAUUUUAUACAUCUUUUACUGAGAGAAAUUAAUUUUUGUGGGAAAAACUCUCUUCAUUUACCUGGCUGUAAUUAGGAGGUCACCAUCCAUUUUCUGCCCUCAGUUCUAUAUAAUCUGUGCAACUGUGAGCACUGUUCAAAAUUUACUGUACUAUCUUUGUCUGGGAAUUUUACACUGGUCAUUGGUAUGUUUUACUUUGUUUUGGUGUAAGUUGCUGUGAUGCAGAAAUAGGGAGGAUCAGCUUGUGAUACUCCUGUUUGGUUUUAUUAAGUGCCUGUUACUGCUAACUCUACUCUCUAAAUAAAUUUGAGAUAAAAUCAC